GCUUACGGCCAUACCAACCUGGCUAUGCCCGAUCUCGUCUGAUUUCGGAAGCUAAGCAGGUUUGGGCCUGUUUAGUACUUGGAUGGGAGACUGCCUGGGAUUACCAUGUGCUGUAAGCU
rnacentral:rRNA from 1 species